UUCUCAACUCCUGAUGCAUGGAGAAAAGGCCUUCACAAGCUUCUGCUAAUGUGUACAUAGUUUAUACUAAGUGACCCAUAGGUUGAGGAUGCGGUGAACGUGGCAAUGAAGGAGGAGGAUGAUGUAGCCAACACUGUUUUUUAUGUUUUGCCUUUUUUAAUUGGGGUAGCCCCCAAAUUAUGUUGACUCCAGAGAACCUCGGGCCAAUCACACAUCCCCGUGGCUGCAACUUUGCAUGCAGAUGUCAUCCAUAUUAACUUUCAAUGCCAGUUUCUGCGCUUACCAUUGUGACCACGGGUAACGGGGAAUCAGGGUUCCAUUCCGUACAGGGACCCUGAGUAACAUCUACCACAUGCAAGGAAGGCAGCAGGCGUGCAAAUGACCCACUCCCGAUGUGGGAAAGUAGUGACGACAAAUAACAAUACAGGACUCUUUAGAGGCCCUGUAAUUGUAAUGAGUCCUCUUGAAAUCCUUUAACUCUGAUCAAUUGGAGGGAAGUCUGGUGCAGAGCCACUGACCCGUGCGUCCUGCAGCUGAAACUCCAAU